GGUCAAGCGAACAAGUGCAUGUGGUGGAUGCCUUGGCGAUCACAGGCGAUGAAGGACGCGGUAGCCUGCGAAAAGCCCCGGGGAGCUGGCAAACAAGCUUUGAUCCGGGGAUGUCCGAAUGGGGAAACCCACUCCUUUUGGAGUAUCCAUAGCUGAAUACAUAGGCUAUGUGAAGCGAACGCGGUGAACUGAAACAUCUAAGUAACCGCAGGAAAAGAAAUCAACCGAGAUUCCCAAAGUAGUGGCGAGCGAAAUGGGAUGAGCCUUGUACUCUUUAUUUGUAUUGUUAGCCGAACGCUCUGGAAAGUGCGGCCAUAGCAGGUGAUAGCCCUGUAGGCGAAAACAGUAUGAAAGAACUAGGUGUACGACAAGUAGGGCGGGACACGUGAAAUCCUGUCUGAAGAUGGGGGGACCAUCCUCCAAGGCUAAAUACUCGUGAUCGACCGAUAGUGAACCAGUACCGUGAGGGAAAGGCGAAAAGAACCCCGGGAGGGGAGUGAAAUAGAUCCUGAAACCGCAUGCAUACAAACAGUCGGAGCCUCGUAAGGGGUGACGGCGUACCUUUUGUAUAAUGGGUCAGCGACUUACGUUCAGUAGCAAGCUUAACCGUAUAGGGCAGGCGUAGCGAAAGCGAGUCCGAAUAGGGCGUUCAGUUGCUGGGCGUAGACCCGAAACCAGGUGAUCUAUCCAUGGCCAGGAUGAAGGUGCGGUAACACGUACUGGAGGUCCGAACCCACUAACGUUGAAAAGUUAGGGGAUGAGCUGUGGAUAGGGGUGAAAGGCUAAACAAACCUGGAAAUAGCUGGUUCUCUCCGAAAACUAUUUAGGUAGUGCCUCGUGUCUCACCUUCGGGGGUAGAGCACUGUCAUGGUUGGGGGGUCUAUUGCAGAUUACCCCGCCAUAGCAAACUCCGAAUACCGAAGAGUGCAAUCACGGGAGACAGACAUCGGGUGCUAACGUCCGGUGUCAAGAGGGAAACAACCCAGACCGCCAGCUAAGGUCCCCAAAUAUGGCUAAGUGGGAAACGAAGUGGGAAGGCUAAAACAGUCAGGAGGUUGGCUUAGAAGCAGCCACCCUUUAAAGAAAGCGUAAUAGCUCACUGAUCGAGUCGUCCUGCGCGGAAGAUGUAACGGGGCUAAGCCAUAUACCGAAGCUGCGGAUGCGUGCUUGCACGCAUGGUAGGAGAGCGUUCCGUAAGCCUGCGAAGGUGCCUUGUAAAGGGUGCUGGAGGUAUCGGAAGUGCGAAUGCUGACAUGAGUAGCGAUAAAGGGGGUGAAAGGCCCCCUCGCCGUAAGCCCAAGGUUUCCUACGCAACGUUCAUCGGCGUAGGGUGAGUCGGCCCCUAAGGCGAGGCAGAAAUGCGUAGCUGAUGGGAAGCAGGUCAAUAUUCCUGCACCAUUGUUAGAUGCGAUGGGGGGACGGAUCGCGGAAGGUUGUCCGGGUGUUGGACGUCCCGGUCGCUGCAUUGGAGAAGGCGCUUAGGCAAAUCCGGGCGCAGGAUUCAAGGGUGUGGCGCGAGCGACUUCGGUCGCGAAGCAAUUGGAAGUGGUUCCAAGAAAAGCCUCUAAGCUUCAGUCUAACGAUGACCGUACCGCAAACCGACACAGGUGGGCGAGAUGAGUAUUCUAAGGCGCUUGAGAGAACUCGGGAGAAGGAACUCGGCAAAUUGGUACCGUAACUUCGGGAUAAGGUACGCCCUUGUAGCUUGACCAGCCUGCGCUGGAAGGGUGAAGGGGUUGCAAUAAACUGGUGGCUGCGACUGUUUAAUAAAAACACAGCACUCUGCAAACACGAAAGUGGACGUAUAGGGUGUGACGCCUGCCCGGUGCCGGAAGAUUAAAUGAUGGGGUGCAAGCUCUUGAUUGAAGUCCCGGUAAACGGCGGCCGUAACUAUAACGGUCCUAAGGUAGCGAAAUUCCUUGUCGGGUAAGUUCCGACCUGCACGAAUGGCGUAACGAUGGCCACACUGUCUCCUCCCGAGACUCAGCGAAGUUGAAGUGUUUGUGAUGAUGCAAUCUACCCGCGGCUAGACGGAAAGACCCCAUGAACCUUUACUGUAGCUUUGCAUUGGACUUUGAACCGAUCUGUGUAGGAUAGGUGGGAGGCUAUGAAACCGGAACGCUAGUUUCGGUGGAGCCGUCCUUGAAAUACCACCCUGGUUUGUUUGAGGUUCUAACCUUGGUCCGUGAUCCGGAUCGGGGACAGUGCAUGGUAGGCAGUUUGACUGGGGCGGUCUCCUCCCAAAGGGUAACGGAGGAGUACGAAGGUACGCUAGGUACGGUCGGAAAUCGUGCUGAUAGUGCAAUGGCAUAAGCGUGCUUAACUGCGAGACCGACAAGUCGAGCAGGUGCGAAAGCAGGUCAUAGUGAUCCGGUGGUUCUGUAUGGAAGGGCCAUCGCUCAACGGAUAAAAGGUACUCUGGGGAUAACAGGCUGAUACCGCCCAAGAGUUCAUAUCGACGGCGGUGUUUGGCACCUCGAUGUCGGCUCAUCUCAUCCUGGGGCUGUAGCCGGUCCCAAGGGUAUGGCUGUUCGCCAUUUAAAGAGGUACGUGAGCUGGGUUUAAAACGUCGUGAGACAGUUUGGUCCCUAUCUGCCGUGGGCGUUGGAUAUUUGAAGGGGGCUGCUCCUAGUACGAGAGGACCGGAGUGGACGAACCUCUGGUGUACCGGUUGUGACGCCAGUCGCAUCGCCGGGUAGCUAUGUUCGGAAGAGAUAACCGCUGAAAGCAUCUAAGCGGGAAACUCGCCUUAAGAUGAGAUAUCCCUGGAGGCUUGACCUCCUUGAAGGGUCGUUCGAGACCAGGACGUUGAUAGGUCGGGUGUGUAAGCGCAGUAAUGCGUUCAGCUAACCGAUACUAAUUGCCCGUAAGGCUUGAUCCU
rnacentral:rRNA from 1 species